rnacentral:rRNA from 1 species
CAUGCAAGUCGAACGAGUUCUCGUUGAUGAUCGGUGCUUGCACCGAGAUUCAACAUGGAACGAGUGGCGGACGGGUGAGUAACACGUGGGUAACCUGCCCUUAAGUGGGGGAUAACAUUUGGAAACAGAUGCUAAUACCGCAUAGAUCCAAGAACCGCAUGGUUCUUGGCUGAAAGAUGGCGUAAGCUAUCGCUUUUGGAUGGACCCGCGGCGUAUUAGCUAGUUGGUGAGGUAAUGGCUCACCAAGGCGAUGAUACGUAGCCGAACUGAGAGGUUGAUCGGCCACAUUGGGACUGAGACACGGCCCAAACUCCUACGGGAGGCAGCAGUAGGGAAUCUUCCACAAUGGACGCAAGUCUGAUGGAGCAACGCCGCGUGAGUGAAGAAGGCUUUCGGGUCGUAAAACUCUGUUGUUGGAGAAGAAUGGUCGGCAGAGUAACUGUUGUCGGCGUGACGGUAUCCAACCAGAAAGCCACGGCUAACUACGUGCCAGCAGCCGCGGUAAUACGUAGGUGGCAAGCGUUAUCCGGAUUUAUUGGGCGUAAAGCGAGCGCAGGCGGUUUUUUAAGUCUGAUGUGAAAGCCCUCGGCUUAACCGAGGAAGCGCAUCGGAAACUGGGAAACUUGAGUGCAGAAGAGGACAGUGGAACUCCAUGUGUAGCGGUGAAAUGCGUAGAUAUAUGGAAGAACACCAGUGGCGAAGGCGGCUGUCUGGUCUGUAACUGACGCUGAGGCUCGAAAGCAUGGGUAGCGAACAGGAUUAGAUACCCUGGUAGUCCAUGCCGUAAACGAUGAAUGCUAGGUGUUGGAGGGUUUCCGCCCUUCAGUGCCGCAGCUAACGCAUUAAGCAUUCCGCCUGGGGAGUACGACCGCAAGGUUG